rnacentral:lncRNA from 1 species
CUUGGGUUAUGUAACUCUUUUGUUAUAAAGUGGGGGUUAUGGUUCCCACAUUAUUGCAAGACAAGACUCUUCUUCCUCCCAUUGAAUCAAGAGCAACAACACCAUUGUUGUCUUGCAAAUAAUUGUGGAAAACCAUAUACCAACCUUUGGUAAUUGUCAUAUUAUUAUUGUAAAACUAUACACAUACUGUCUUUGCCUUGUGAGGGAUUAUUGUGGUGAUACAAACUUCAAGAAAUCUUAAAGAAAAGGAUCAAGGAGUUCACAAGGACAUUUGGACAAUCAUCAAAGGAGGUUCCACAAUUUCCACACAUGGAUUCAGGUUAGCUUCCGCUCAUGUAGUUUUAAUUUCGAAUUGUUCA